rnacentral:rRNA from 1 species
ACAAUGGAGAGUUUGAUCCUGGCUCAGGAUGAACGCUAGCGGCAGGCUUAAUACAUGCAAGUCGAGGGGCAGCACGGUAGCAAUACUGGUGGCGACCGGCGCACGGGUGCGUAACACGUAUACAAUCUACCUUCAACAGGGGGAUAGCCUUUCGAAAGAGAGAUUAAUACCCCGUAAUAUAUUGGAUGGCAUCAUUCGAUAUUGAAAGUUCCGACGGUUGAAGAUGAGUAUGCGUCUGAUUAGCUAGUAGGUGAGGUAACGGCUCACCUAGGCGACGAUCAGUAGGGGAUCUGAGAGGACUACCCCCCACACUGGUACUGAGACACGGACCAGACUCCUACGGGAGGCAGCAGUAAGGAAUAUUGGUCAAUGGAGGCAACUCUGAACCAGCCAUGCCGCGUGCAGGAAGACGGCCCUAUGGGUUGUAAACUGCUUUUGUACCAGAGAAAACCCUUCUACGUGUAGAAGGUUGAUAGUAUGGUAAGAAUAAGCAUCGGCUAACUUCGUGCCAGCAGCCGCGGUAAGACGAAGGAUGCAAGCGUUAUCCGGAUUCAUUGGGUUUAAAGGGUGCGUAGGCGGACCUGUAAGUCAGUGGUGAAAUCUCUCAGCUUAACUGAGAAACUGCCAUUGAUACUGCAGGUCUAGAGUAUAGAUGACGUUGGCGGAAUAUGACAUGUAGUGGUGAAAUACUUAGAUAUGUCAUAGAACACCGAUUGCGAAGGCAGCUAACGAAACUAUAACUGACGCUGAGGCACGAAAGUGCGGGGAUCAAACAGGAUUAGAUACCCUG